rnacentral:rRNA from 1 species
AUUGAACGCUGGCGGCAUGCCUUACACAUGCAAGUCGAACGGCAGCGCGGGGCAACCUGGCGGCGAGUGGCGAACGGGUGAGUAAUAUAUCGGAACAUACCCUAGAGUGGGGGAUAACGUAGCGAAAGUUACGCUAAUACCGCAUACGCACUAAGGUGGAAAGUGGGGGAGUCUUCGGACCUCAUGCUCAUGGAGUGGCCGAUAUCUGAUUAGCUAGUUGGUGAGGUAAAGGCUCACCAAGGCGACGAUCAGUAGCUGGUUUGAGAGAACGACCAGCCACACUGGAACUGAGACACGGUCCAGACUCCUACGGGAGGCAGCAGUGGGAAUUUUGGACCAAAUGGGGGGCAACCCUGAUCCAGCAAUGCCGCGUGAGUGAAGAAA